rnacentral:tRNA from 1 species
UUAAUUGAAGCCAAAAGAGAGGCAUAUCACUGUUAAUGAUAAUAAUGAAUAAACAAUUCCAAUUAAG